rnacentral:ribozyme from 13 species
AGAAGAAGAAGAAGAAGAAGAAGAUUGUAAAGCCAAAGAACGGGCUGUCUGUAAUGCUUCUCUCCCUCUCUCUUUCAUUUCUUUACCUCCAAAACACAAUAUUCUUCCCAUUUGAUAAUGUAAGAGAGGAGAGAAGGGAAAGAGAGAGAGCCCUUUUUGAAUAAAAGAGAC